rnacentral:lncRNA from 1 species
GAUUUGCUUAUUAAUACUGUAAUUCUUUGAAAUGUCAGUACAAAGUAAUGUCACACUUUUGGUUGAUUGACCCUAUUUAAAUAUAGUAUGUCCUUUUGAUUCUGCUCCCAGCAUCCCGUAAAUGUACCUGUCUCCAUUUCAUCUCCUGCCUAAGCAGUGGAUAAAUUUAAAAUCACAGACAACCCGCAUUUAAACCAUGUUACUCCAUGGUUCUUCAUUUAUCAUAUCUGAUUCUGGCAUAAAGGGCUCAAUUAGUGAUUUCAGUGCACCAUGGGAUUUGCUCGUCAAGUUUCUGCAUUCAAAGUGUUCUUUCCUAAUUUAUGGGCACGAUGAAAGAGGCCACUAAAUCUACAGCGGUUUAUGGUGGCGGGCCAUUGGUGCUGGGCAAAUAUUCCAGUUCUCAUGCUGACUUACGAUAAACGUCAUCAUACAG